rnacentral:lncRNA from 1 species
CGUUUUUAAAGGUCUCCAGGCAACUCCAAUGUGCGGCCAAGUUUGAGACCCAGUGCCAGCUCCAGAACCAGUUUGAGAAGCUUCACUGCCUCCUCCUCAGGAGGUAAGUUUAGGUUAUCCACUUUUUACGGGCGAGAAGCAGAGGUUAAGGGAGGUUAAGGGUGCUUGAGUCCCUCGGGCCACAGUCAGUGGUGAAGAUGGGGCUCCAGCCUGAGCAAUCUGACUUCAGAGCCCCAACUUCCUCUUCCACAGUCCUCUCCUGCCUUCUUGGGAGGAACCAAGUCAGUGUAACUGAAUGGAGUUCUGUCAUCCUUGACCCCACAGGUGCUGCCACCAGGGUUAACCACUCACUUGACUGGCCUAAUUGCUUCAACGAAGAAGUUCAGCAUCAUGGAGUCAUAGUCCCUGAAGUGAGACUGAAAAUAUGAAAUUAUAGGAUGUAUUCAGCUGCCAAAAAGUACAAUAAAAUAAAACAAAAUCAAAUGGAGUUUGGGACG